CCUACGGGAUGCAGCAGUGGGGGAUAUUGGACAAUGGGGGGAACCCUGAUCCAGCGCCGCCGCGUGAGUGAAGAAGUAUUUAGGUAUGUAAAGCUCUGUCAGCAGGGAAGCAAAAAAUGACGGUAUCUGACUAAGAAGCUCCGGCUAAAUACGUGCCAGCAACCGCGGGAAUACGUAGGGGGCAAGUGUUAUCCGGAAUUACUGGGUGUAAAGGGAGCGUAGACGGUUAAGUAAGUCUGGAGGGAAAGGCCUGGGCCCAACCCCGGGACUGCUCUUGAAACUAUUGAACUUGAGUGCAGGAGAGGUAAGCGGAAUUCCUAGUGUAGCGGUGAAAUGCGUAGAUAUUAGGAGGAACACCAGUGGCGAAGGCGGCUUACUGGACUGUAACUGACGUUGAGGCUCGAAAGCGUGGGGAGCAAACAGGAUUAGAUACCCGAGUAGUC
rnacentral:rRNA from 1 species